rnacentral:rRNA from 1 species
GCAGUGAGGAAUAUUGGACAAUGGGCGCAAGCCUGAUCCAGCCAUGCCGCGUGCAGGAUGACGGUCCUAUGGAUUGUAAACUGCUUUUGCACAGGAAGAAACACUCGGUCGUGACCGAGCUUGACGGUACUGUGAGAAUAAGGAUCGGCUAACUCCGUGCCAGCAGCCGCGGUAAUACGGAGGAUCCAAGCGUUAUCCGGAAUCAUUGGGUUUAAAGGGUCCGUAGGCGGUUUGGUAAGUCAGUGGUGAAAGCCCAUCGCUCAACGGUGGAACGGCCAUUGAUACUGCCAGACUUGAAUUAUUAGGAAGUAACUAGAAUAUGUAGUGUAGCGGUGAAAUGCUUAGAGAUUACAUGGAAUACCAAUUGCGAAGGCAGGUUACUACUAAUGGAUUGACGCUGAUGGACGAAAGCGUGGGUAGCGAACAGGAUUAGA